rnacentral:rRNA from 1 species
AUUGAACGCUGGCGGCAUGCCUUACACAUGCAAGUCGAACGGCAGCACGGGUGCUUGCACCUGGUGGCGAGUGGCGAACGGGUGAGUAAUACAUCGGAACGUACCUUAUCGUGGGGGAUAACGCAGCGAAAGCUGUGCUAAUACCGCAUACGCCCUGAGGGGGAAAGCGGGGGAUCGAAAGACCUCGCGCGAUUAGAGCGGCCGAUGCCUGAUUAGCUUGUUGGUGGGGUAAAAGCCCACCAAGGCGACGAUCAGUAGCUGGUCUGAGAGGACGAUCAGCCACACUGGGAAUGAGACACGGCGCAGACUCCUACGGGAGGCAGCAGUGGGGAAUUUUGGACAAUGGGGGCAACCCUGAUCCAGCAAUGCCGCGUGAGUGAAGAAGGCCUUCGGGUUGUAAAGCUCUUUUGUCAGGGAAGAAACACCGGCUCUAACACAGUCCGGGAAUGACGGUACCUGAAGAAUAAGCACCGGCUAACUACGUGCCAGCCGCCGCCGUAA